GAUGAACGCUGGCGGCGUGCCUAAUACAUGCAAGUCGAGCGAACGGACGAGAAGCUUGCUUCUCUGAUGUUAGCGGCGGACGGGUGAGUAACACGUGGAUAACCUACCUAUAAGACUGGGAUAACUUCGGGAAACCGGAGCUAAUACCGGAUAAUAUUUUGAACCGCAUGGUUCAAAAGUAAAAGACGGUCUUGCUGUCACUUAUAGAUGGAUCCGCGCUGCAUUAGCUAGUUGGUAAGGUAACGGCUUACCAAGGCAACGAUGCAUAGCCGACCUGAGAGGGGGAUCGGCCACACUGGAACUGAGACACGGUCCAGACUCCUACGGGAGGCAGCAGUAGGGAAUCUUCCGCAAUGGGCGAAAGCCUGACGGAGCAACGCCGCGUGAGUGAUGAAGGUCUUCGGAUCGUAAAACUCUGUUAUUAGGGAAGAACAUAUGUGUAAGUAACUGUGCACAUCUUGACGGUACCUAAGCAGAAAGCCACGGCUAACUACGU
rnacentral:rRNA from 1 species